GAAACAUGAGAGCCAGCAGGAUGAUGAGAGGCCUUACAUCCCGAAGCCACCCAACGCCUUCAUGCUUUUCAUGAAGGAGCAGAGGCCGUACGUUCUGGCCACCCACAAAUCCACUGACUCUGCCACUGUCAACAUGAUCAUUGGAAGGAAGGGCCAAAAGCAGAAAAGGGUCAGGAAGAGCGGCCCCAGGGACGACUGAAGGAAGCAUCUUCCUCACUGCAUGAUGAAUCCAUAGGACACUUCUAACUGAGCAGUUUGAGCCCUCCUCCCCUCACUGUACAUAUUCCCCUGAUGACUCGUCCUCUUUUUUACCUUUUAA